GACAGAGGGUGCAAACGUUGUUCGGAAUUACUGGGCGUAAAGCGUGUGUAGGCGGUCUCAUAAGUCCGAUGUGAAAGCCCUGGGCUCAACCCAGGAAGUGCACUCGAUACUGCGAGGCUAGAGUAUCGGAGAGGUUGGUGGAAUUCUCGGUGUAGAGGUGAAAUUCGUAGAUAUCGAGAGGAACACCGGUGGCGAAGGCGGCCAACUGGACGAAUACUGACGCUGAGACACGAAAGCGUGGGGAGCAAACAGG
rnacentral:rRNA from 1 species